GAUGAAGGGCGUGCUAAUCUGCGAUAAGCGCCGGUAAGGUGAUAUGAACCGUUAUAACCGGCGAUACCCGAAUGGGGAAACCCAGUGUGAUUCGUCACACUAUCAUUAACUGAAUCCAUAGGUUAAUGAGGCGAACCGGGGGAACUGAAACAUCUAAGUACCCCGAGGAAAAGAAAUCAACCGAGAUUCCCCCAGUAGCGGCGAGCGAACGGGGAGGAGCCCAGAGCCUGAAUCAGCAUGUGUGUUAGUGGAAGCGUCUGGAAAGGCGCGCGAUACAGGGUGACAGCCCCGUACACAAAAGCGCAUGUGCUGUGAGCUCGAUGAGUAGGGCGGGACACGUGGUAUCCUGUCUGAAUAUGGGGGGACCAUCCUCCAAGGCUAAAUACUCCUGACUGACCGAUAGUGAACCAGUACCGUGAGGGAAAGGCGAAAAGAACCCCGGCGAGGGGAGUGAAAAAGAACCUGAAACCGUGUACGUACAAGCAGUGGGAGCACAGGUUUACCUGUGUGACUGCGUACCUUUUGUAUAAUGGGUCAGCGACUUAUAUUCUGUAGCAAGGUUAACCGAAUAGGGGAGC
rnacentral:rRNA from 2 species